AGUGGGAAGAGGGGCGGGACAGAGCGAUGCUGCCUGAACUGACAGCAAAUUUAAAUUACUGAGCUUUCUUUUUCUUUUUUUUUUUUGUUUUUCUUUCUUUGCGUGCCUUUUUUUUUUUUUUGGUAUUUUUCUACUCUGCGACAAACUGAAAAGAUUCUAGCACACGCUAAUUUAACAACCCUGCUUCGUCGUCUUCUUUUUUUCUCCCUUCUGCUUCCAGGAUAAUUAAAAGAGAAACCUGUAAAGGCAACAUUCCUUCAAGCAAGUUGGUGCUGCAACGUGCUGAUAUUCAUCUCUUUUCAACAGAAUAACACAGAGUAGCUCAGCAGACAAAGAAGAAGAGAGCAGGUGUGGAAGGCAGGGAAGAACAGUGGGACUCCUUCAAGACAGGAAAAAAUACUCUCAGGCAUGCAGAAGAAAAUAAAGAAUAAGUUGCUUUGUGCUACCAUUGCCUACAGUGGAGGAGCCAAACUACAUUCCCAACAGCAGCUCUGCUACUUUCUCCAUGCACCUCACUUUUGCAUAAUAAGAGAAAAUAACACUUUGUCAUGCUGUAUUAAAAUAAUUAUCUCCU
rnacentral:lncRNA from 1 species